AAUGAACGCUGGCGGCGUGCCUAACACAUGCAAGUCGAACGAGAAACUCCGGGCUUGCUCGGAGAAGUAAAGUGGCGCACGGGUGAGUAACGCGUGGGUAACCUGCCCCUGAAUCUGGGAUAACUUCGCGAAAGCGUUGCUAAUACCGGAUAUUGUCCCUUUUGCUGUGGCUAAAGGGAUGAAAGGUGACCUAUUUAUGAAAGUUGCCGUUUAGGGAGGGGCUCGCGUACCAUUAGCUUGUUGGUGGGGUAAUGGCCUACCAAGGCUGCGAUGGUUAGCUGGUCUGAGAGGAUGAUCAGCCACACUGGAACUGAAACACGGUCCAGACUCCUACGGGAGGCAGCAGUGAGGAAUUUUGCGCAAUGGGGGAAACCCUGACGCAGCAACGCCGUGUGAGUGAAGAAGGCUUUCGGGUCGCAAAGCUCUGUCAAGUGGGAAAAAGGACUUUCGGUCAAUAGCCGGAAGGAUUGAUGGUACCACUAGAGGAAGCACCGGCUAACUCCGUGCCAGCAGCCGCGGUAAUACGGAGGGUGCAAGCGUUGUUCGGAAUUACUGGGCGUAAAGAGCGUGUAGGCGGUUUGGUAAGUCAGGUGUGAAAGCCCUGGGCUUAACCCAGGAAGUGCAUUUGAAACUACCUCACUUGAGUAUGGGAGAGGAGAGUGGAAUUCCCAGUGUAGAGGUGAAAUUCGUAGAUAUUGGGAGGAACACCCGUGGCGAAGGCGACUCUCUGGACCAAUACUGACGCUGAGACGCGAAAGCGUGGGGAGCAAACAGGAUUAGAUACCCUGGUAGUCCACGCCGUAAACGAUGAGAACUAGGUGUAGCGGGUAUUGACCCCUGCUGUGCCGGAGCUAACGCAUUAAGUUCUCCGCCUGGGGAGUACGGCCGCAAGGCUA
rnacentral:rRNA from 1 species